rnacentral:rRNA from 1 species
GACGGAAGGUGCAAGCGUUGCUCGGAAUCAUCGGGCGUAAAGGGUGCGUAGGCGGCUUGGUGGGUCUGGUGUGAAAGCCCCGGGCUUAGCCCGGGAAGGGCGCUAGAAACUGCCGAGCUCGAGUGCCGGAGGGGAGAGUGGAAUUCCCGGUGUAGCGGUGAAAUGCGUAGAGAUCAGGAGGAAUACCGGUGGCGAAAGCGACUCUCUGGACGGCAACUGACGCUGAGGCACGAAAGCGUGGGGAGCAAACAGG